CAAAGAACUUUGAAGAGAGAGUUCAAGAGGGCGUGAAACCGUUUGGAAGGAAACGGAUAGAGCCGACGACAGUCGGCGGGAUUCAGUCUGCUGGUCGAGAUUCGAACGAGCUCGCGGACCGAUGGCCGCGGCUCGCGCGUGUUCGCGGCCGGCGGAUGCAUUUCCCGUCGACGCGCGUCGAGGACGGCGGACGCGCGGAACGAAGUCCGGGUUGCCGGCCCCGUUCGCGGGGUGUCCCUCCCGGUCGGAGAUCCGUCGAGUCCGCCGAUCGAAGACAUCGGCCUUCGCGGCGCGGUAGUGAACUAUGCCUGAGCAGGACGAAGCCGGAGGAAACUCUGGUGGAGGUCCGAAGCGGUUCUGACGUGCAAAUCGAUCGUCAGACUUGGGUAUAGGGGCGAAAGACUAAUCGAACCAUCUAGUAGCUGGUCUGUUCCGAGGAACCAAGGAGUCUAACGCGUGCGCGAGUCAUUGGGCGGCAAACCCAAAGGCGCAAUGAAAGUGAAAGCCGGCUAGAUCGGCCGAUACGGGAGCCUCGUUCGCGCGGGGCGCACCGUAGCCCCGUCUCGUCUGCUCGUCAGAGGGGCGGAGGAAGAGCGUACACGCUGGGACCCGAAAGAUGGUGAACUAUGCCUGAGCAGGACGAAGCCAGAGGAAACUCUGGUGGAGGUCCGAAGCGGUUCUGACGUGCAAAUCGAUCGUCAGACUUGGGUAUAGGGGCGAAAGACUAAUCGAACCAUC
rnacentral:rRNA from 1 species